rnacentral:misc_RNA from 1 species
UUUGGCCUCCUAUGGUUAUCAUUACAAAUACAGUGCACAAAAAGAACGAGUACAAUAAGGUGAGAUUUGUACUUUUCUCAUUCACAAGUAGAUAUUUAAGUUCUUUGUGAAGAUAUAAUGAUCCAGUUACUAAUUAGCUGUUGUUUGAAUCGAUGGAAUCGUGAAUUUCAGUGGAUUGGUAUGACAACUCAACAGCUGCUGGACAUGUUCAGCACAGACGAUGCUGUUGUCAAGGUUCAACACUUCUACAAUUCAAAUGGACAUUGUGGGAUGGGUAUUUUGAUUUUUGAGAGCUCACCGAGGGGUUAUUUAGAGGCAGAGUUGCUGCAUAUGCAUUUUGCAGAGGAAGGAACAGGUAGAAAGGCUUGGAAUAGUCGGCCAGUCUACUUCCUACCCAGUGGGGAGCGCCAACUUUAUGGUUACAUGGCAAUGAAAGAAGAUGUGGACACCUUCAACCAGUACUAUUCGAAAGGUAUAUAUUGAUAUAUGCUCGAAUGGAUAUUAAUCAGUAUUAUUUUAGAGGACAAAGAACAUGUAAGAGAGAUCUAAUUCUGCUGCAAAAUUAAUCAGGAAAGCCUAAGCUAAAAUAUGAGAUGAGAUCCUACCAAGAAAUGGUGGUGAACAGAAUCAGGCAAAUGAGUAAAGACAACCUUCAGCUUCCCUGGUUGCAGAACAGAGUCGUUGAGCAACAAAAUCAUGCAAAAGACCUUGAAGAAUCCAAUGGCAUGUUGAAGGUGAAGCUAAACAACGUAACCAGGGAUAUGGAGAUCUUGAGACGAAAAGCCAAACAGCAGCAUGAGCAGGACACGGAAGAGGUAACUCUUUCCAAAUGCAAAUGAACUUAUGCCUUUCUAAUUAAGAAAGCUAAAGCUGAACUCUAAGCCUUUUUUUUUAAAAAAAAGAACUCCUUAUAUUGCUUCUAAUUUCGCUCUAUUACAGUCUACCAAAAGUAUUGUUUCUUGAAGUGAUAUUUGCUAUUUUAUCAUGAAUCAUCUCUAUUUUGACUGAACAUAACAAUCCAUUUGCUUAGAUGGAAUCUCUAGAGCAAUUUUACAAGGACCAAAUCAAAACCAUUCUUGAAGCAAGAAAAGAGAACGAUGGGGACUUUGAGAAUACACAGCAGAAGGAAGUGCAAGAAAAUGCAGAGCAAUCAAAUGCAAAUUCUUCAAACUGAAAUGAUUUCAUAAAGAACCCGGAGAAAGAAAAAGGAGGGGUGGCAGAGAGCCAUAAGCCAAUAAUACAAGAAGAGGUCGGUAGAGCUCCCAUUGCAAGGGAGGAGACAAUGUUCCCGGCAGUGAUGAGAAGGAGACUCCAACCCAUGCCAGUUCCUAGAGAUGAAAAACGCCUAGCGCACUUGGCAAAGGCAAGAGCCUCAAUUUUAAGGAGAAAGCUCAUCAUGGCAGACUAAUAAUGUCAAGUCUUAAACCAUUAGGUGUUCAACUGAUGAUUUGUGUAGUUUGCAAAUUGUAUUUGCGGUCGUGUUCUUAUUUAAAACCAAAAGAUAAUAUUAAUCUCUAUAUAAUUAUAUGUAUAUGUGAAUUUGUAUUGUGCUGCACCUGCAGUUGUAUCUCCCAAGUUUUGGAGUCCCUUCCCCCUUUUAAAGAAGCAUUGGAUUUGUUUUAAUGUGUCCUAGUUUGUUCAUGUUUUAUCCUUUUUUAUUUAAUUUGAG